rnacentral:hammerhead_ribozyme from 1 species
ACCAACUGGAGAGUCUCAAAUAGGACGAAAUGCGCGUCCUGGAU